UCCGGUAUGGUGUAACGGCUAACAUUGCCGCCUUUCAUAACCCUCUUGAAUAGCAUUAAUACGCGGCAGCUCGGGGUUCGAUUCCCCGUACCGGAA